rnacentral:rRNA from 1 species
CACGCAGUAAACGAUGAAUACUAGCUGUAUGCGAUAUACUGUAUGUGGCAAAGCGAAAGCAUUAAGUAUUCCACCUGGGGAGUACGUUCGCAAGAAUGAAACUCAAAGGAAUUGACGGGGGCCCGCACAAGCGGAGGAACAUGUGGUUUAAUUCGAUGAUACGCGAGGAACCUUACCCGGGCUUGAAAUGCAGAGGAAUAAUGUGGAAACAUGUUAGUCAGCAAUGACCUCUGUGUAGGUGC